AUAUUUUACAUUUUAAAUAUGUUUCUUUUGUUUGAUUUUUUCUGUGUUUGAUUAUGAAACCCCAUCUACUAACAUAUUAAAACAGUGUACAAAAAGUGAUGUUACUAGAACUUAUAUUUUACUUAUGUAAAGCUUUCUAAUAUUCCAUCUUUCCGAGGCAGAGGGACAUUAUUCUUGGUUUAAUUAUUUUUUAAUUUAAUAUCUCUGGAUAUUUUUCAUAUUUAGUUUGCGUACAACAGUUAACAACUUUAAGCUUAUACAUUAACUUUAGUUAUAACUUAAUUAAUAAUGAUUUGAUUUAUAGAUUUUUAAAGCAAUACAAGAUUGAAUUUAGCAUAAGGCUACAUUUCUGCUCUGGAGACAAAAAAGGAAGACAGCAAAAAUGACCAGUCAAAAUAAAGAUUGAAGAGACAAAAAAUUGUGUAUAUCUUGGUGUAGAUGAUUUAUCCUCAUUUUUUUAUAAUAAAACAAAAAAUAUUAUUAAACUUUAGGAUUUACCUGUAACUCCAAAAUCUUUACAGAAGUUUAAUGUUUGCUCUGAGAAGUUGAAUGAACAAAUUUAUUAAAUGUGUUCAUUCUUAGUCGUCAUUGAAGUACAACUUGGUAAACUACAAAACACAUCAAAUUCAGUUAUAAAAAUUUGAGUAACAAAGGUAUACUAAUUAUUGUAUUGCCUGAAAAAGUGUCAUUGCUAUUAAAAGCAGUGAAGAAUUCAAGUACUCUGGAAGAAAAGAAAAUACGUAAGUAAAUGGUUGUGUAUUUUUGCAU